rnacentral:rRNA from 1 species
GUGCCAGCAGCCGCGGUAAUUCCAGCUCCAAUAGCGUAUAUUAAAGUUGUUGUGGUUAAAAAGCUCGUAGUUGAACCUUGGGCCUGGCUGGCCGGUCCGCCUCACCGCGUGCACUGGUCCGGCCGGGCCUUUCCCUCUGUGGAACCCCAUACCCUUCACUGGGCGUGGCGGGGAAACAGGACAUUUACUUUGAAAAAAUUAGAGUGCUCCAGGCAGGCCUAUGCUCGAAUACAUUAGCAUGGAAUAAUAAAAUAGGACGCGCGGUUCUAUUUUGUUGGUUUAUAGGACCGCCGUAAUGAUUAAUAGGGACAGUCGGGGGCAUCAGUAUUCAACUGUCAGAGGCGAAAUUCUUGGAUCAGUUGAAGACUAACUACUGCGAAAGCAUUUGCCAAGGAUGUUUUCAUUAAUCAGGAACGAAAGUUAGGGGAUCGAAGACGAUCAGAUACCGUCGUAGUCUUAACCAUAAACUAUGCCGACUAGGGAUCGGACGGUGUUAUUCAUGACCCGUUCGGCACCUUACGAGAAAUCAAAGUGCUUGGGCUCCAGGGGGAGUAUGGUCGCAAGGCUGAAACUUAAAGAAAUUGACGGAAGGGCACCACCAGGGGUGGAGCCUGCGGCUUAAUUUGACUCAACACGGGGAAACUCACCAGGUCCAGACACAAUAAGGAUUGACAGAUUGAGAGCUCUUUCUUGAUUUUGUGGGUGGUGGUGCAUGGCCGUUCUUAGUUGGUGGGGUGACUUGUCUGCUUAAUUGCGAUACGAACGAGACCUAACCUGCUAAAUAGCCCGCAUUGCUCCGGCAGUGCGCUGGCUUCUUAGAGGGACUUUCGGCUCAAGCCGAAGGAAGUUUGGAGGCAUUA